UGACAAGGGCCCCAUUUGCCACCAGGUCCUGGAAUGAAAAGGCCAUUAUGAUGAGAGCCACUGCUACCUCGCUGGCAGUCACUGAACCAACCAUGAAUGCACAAAUGUAGAACUUAAUCCUUGCCUGUGACUGACCCUCAUGGCAUGUAUGUGAUGUGGAUGACGAAGGAGUUUGUACGUACCUUCUGUACAAUAUCACGGUGUCCAUGACUGGCUGCCAGAUGCAGGGGGGUGUCAUCCCCACGGUUCAUUACAUUGAUCCGUGCCCCCCGCAUGAUCAACAUCUCAACCACAGCAGAGCGGCCCUCUCGGCAGGCCCAGUGCAAGGGGGAGAAGCCAUGAUCGUCCCUUUGAGGAAGGGGCAAUGGUCAUUGAGCUGGAGGUGGGAUGGGGCAAAGGUUUUGAUUCCUGAAAAACUGAUAAUUACAUACUCUCUGGGAAGGCUUACCUCUCUAGGACUUUGAUUCUCAUUCAUGCCAGCAACUCCCAAAGCUGUCCAUUUCAGACCUUCCCCUGAGCUUCAAACCAAACCAACCACCUAGAUAUCUCAACAACCUCUAUAAAAAAAUGUGUUAUCUUCACCAUAUCCCACAUCUCAUUUCCUUAGGUGGUAGUGCUCUUCCCCUGGUUUCUCUUGCACCCCUUCUGCAACAUCUAUUGGUCCUUUCUGUUUUCCACCACAUCUUAUAUGUCCCCCUACUUCAGCACUUGUUGCACUGGAUUGUAAAAAUCUGUUAAUGGACUGUCUUGUCUGUUAGACCUUUAAGUUUCUUGAGGGAAUGGAUUGACAGCAGCUGUUCAGUGCAUGUUAGUGGGGGAGAAGGGUGUCUUGGAGAAGGCAGGCCACAACUUAUAGAAGAGGGAACAAACUUACUAUUUGGCUCUGGUACUGAAACUAACAUCUAAAAAUGGAAUGGAAUUUAAAUGAUGUUUUGGAAGGGUUUAUGUUGAAAAGGAGAAAUGCUUUUGACUACUGAUGAGGUAGAUAACAAACCACCAUGCAAAGCAGGAUUCCCCUACUUAGCAAUCCUGUGCAUAGAAAACAGAAGAAAAUGAGAAUGGCUGUUUUGGGAUUAAAACUAUACCUGAUUUUUUUCUUUUCCAAGAAAUAUGUAUUUUAUAAAGUAAAGUAUACAAACAAAACAAAACAAUUGGUUUGGAGCUGGGCCUGCCUGACAGCCUGGGGCCAUAAAAGGAAAUUCCCUCCAGUUCGGGGCUGCAGAUUCAAGGGGCGGAGCAGGGGGCGGUCCGUGGUCUGGGCCAGCAGCCUCCGGAUGCCUUAGUGUUGUGGUCACUUCCUGUGUGCGACUCUAGGCAAGGCCUGGAGCUGAUCAGGGGUCUGGCCAUCCAGAUGCCCGUACAGCUGAAGGGGUUGGGGGGUGUGGCCUUUAAGUUAAUCAUUUUCCUCCACAACUUGCUCGCAUCUGCUAACACAGAAAUAGCCAAAAGCUUUUCCUUGAGAUGGGAUUAUCCCCAGGAAGCAUUACGCCCCCUGUUUAUCAGUUGGUCUUGCCUCCUAGACCUUUAAUUUGUGCCCUGACUUAUCAGCUUCCAGUACUGCCUGUGGCGCCAGGGCAGGCCAAACUCGGGGGGCAAAAGUAUGGGCACAAGGGUUCUGUUCACUAUCAGGCUGCCUGCCACCUCAGGGCCUGGACUUCUAUCUCAAGAAGACCUGCAAGGAAUUAACCCCCUCUUCAUAUCCAGCAUAUAGCCAACUUUGGCCCCCAUACUUUACUCCUCAAACCAGCACCACAACCUUCCAGUUUCAUUAAUUCCACCCCUUUUCCUUCUGGCAGCAUCUUCCUAGAGUCUUCCUAGACUCAGCUAGAGUCUUCCUAGAUGCUAGGCCCACUGGGCAACUGCCUAAGCCUCUAUUUCCUCACCAACAAAACAGUAACAGUGCUUACUGUCUUUAUCAGGGUACCCUUUGAGAAUUAUAUGAAAAAUGGAACAAAUGACUUUGCAAAGUAUUAAAGAGAAAUAGUGUAGAACCUAAUGGGAACCAGUGAAGUCUAGACUAAGAUGACAGGUGAUCCUGACCUGUCAAACCUAAAAACUAAACUCCACCAAUUUUAAAAAAUAAAGAAUUUGAUUUUGCCACUCUGAGUCACCAUCACUACUGCUCUUCUUGCCUUCCUAUCUCAGCCAACCUUGUAGAACUGGUGUACAUUCACUUUCACUAUUUGCUCACCUCUCAACUUUUGUUUUCUUUUUCUUUUUUAAGACAGAGUCUU
rnacentral:lncRNA from 1 species